AGCAGCCGCGGUAAUUCCAGCUCCAAUAGCGUAUAUUAAAGUUGUUGCAGUUAAAAAGCUCGUAGUUGAAUUUCGGGAUUAGUACGUUGGUCGUGCCUUCGGUACGUACUGGUGUUACUGGUUCCUACCUUCUGACGAACCAUCAUGUCAUUAAUUUGGUGUGGUGGGGAAUCAGGACUGUUACUUUGAAAACAUUAGAGUGUUUAAAGCAGGCUCGCGCUUGAAUACAUUAGCAUGGAAUAAUGAAAUAGGACGUUGACCCUAUUUUGUUGGUUUCUAGGAUUGACGUAAUGAUUAAUAGGGAUAGUUGGGGGCAUUAGUAUUCAAUUGUCAGAGGUGAAAUUCUUGGAUUUAUUGAAGACUAACUACUGCGAAAGCAUUUGCCAAGGAUGUUUUCAUUAAUCAAGAACGAAAGUUAGGGGAUCGAAGACGAUCAGAUACCGUCGUAGUCUUAACCAUAAACUAUGCCGACUAGGGAUCGGAUGAUGUUAUUUUUAAUGACUCA
rnacentral:rRNA from 1 species